rnacentral:lncRNA from 1 species
ACGGAAUUGGUCACAACCGGUCACAAUAAACACAUACUUGGUCACAGAGCGUCAUCACAAACAAAUCUGCAUAUAUCGUAGACCAACGACACAAUCCACCACCAGUCAUCACCAGCAUCACCUCCAAUGUAUCACCACUACCACCUUCAACUCAAAUUCACGACCAUAAGUACUACAUUCAUUGGCCUGUGUUAUCAGUGACUAACUAUGAGCAACUUUGUAGUCAUUGUAACUGUUUGUGACCAUGUCAGUCUAAAUUGUUGACUGUAUAUAAACAAGGCACAUAUGGUUACAAUUAGCAUAAAUCUGGUCACAUACAUUCACAAUGACGAUAGACUUGGUCACAUUGGAUUUCCAUUGCCACUACCAAAUGUACACCACGAACACCUUCAACAAAUUCCAACCACCACCACCAUCACAUCAUCGUACAACAUAAAGAUCCACUGCUCUUACCUGUAAGCAGCGGCGCACCUCCUUUGAAGCCUCCAAACGCCGACCAACAUUCAGGCCAGCUAGUGCACGUCGUCGUCCAUCAACCACCUCUUCCUACCAAAUUUCUGCAAUUACAAUUUUACCCUACCAGUAUUAACUGCAACAACUACCACCAAUUGUAGCACUCAAAUGCACCAAAAAUCAAGCCAAAGAUCAGUAGCUACGGACUGUCUUUUGUGCAACAACACCUUCUCCCGUGAUGCCCAUGCUAGUACCACCACAUCGGUCAACCAUACUCAUUAAGGGACAUCUAUUUAUUGUUUAAUAUCAUCAAACAACAACACAAAAUCCAAAUUUAUAAACCCGCUCUUCUCAUAAUCAAACACGCACAUUUCAGUUUCAAUUUUCGGCUUCGACAAUAAGCUCCACAAUCACAAACCACCUUCUUCGGUAUCUCCACACCAUACCGCAUCUAUUGCUACCAUGGGCUUCAUUGAUGUACAUAACAGUUCGUGGUUGCAUGCGAUGGUUAUUUCUUUCCUGGGAGUCCACCACGUGCAGAGACAUUGGAAAGAAAAAGCGGGUGGGUAGGAUCCGCCGCACAUAGCAGCAUCGGGAAGGGACGAAUGAGUGGAAUGUGAGAGAGAGAGAACGAA